rnacentral:rRNA from 1 species
UACGGAGGGUGCAAGCGUUAUCCGGAUUCACUGGGUUUAAAGGGUGCGUAGGUGGGUUGGUAAGUCAGUGGUGAAAUCUCCGAGCUUAACUUGGAAACUGCCAUUGAUACUAUUAAUCUUGAAUAUUGUGGAGGUCAGCGGAAUAUGUCAUGUAGCGGUGAAAUGCUUAGAGAUGACAUAGAACACCAAUUGCGAAGGCAGCUGGCUACACAUAUAUUGGCACUGAGGCACGAAAGCGUGGGGAUCAAACAGG